rfam:Exidia glandulosa HHB12029 unplaced genomic scaffold EXIGLscaffold_938, whole genome shotgun sequence.
GGCAGUUUGGCCGAGUGGUUAAGGCGCCGUGUUAAGGCCGCGGUCCGAAAGGGCGCAGGUUCGAGUCCUGCAGCUGUCA